AUAAAACGCAAGCAGUGACUUCAUUGAAAGGAUAAGAAGACGCUUCAAUAAAUGGAGGAAAAUGUAAAUAUUUCCUUAUAAAAACUCCUUAGGGUUCUCCCGCUAACGCAGAAACAGCAACGUAAAAUGAGCAUUGAAUUAAGAGAGGACGUAAAGCUAGGAAGUUAGAAAAUAACAAAAGAUAUGGUGCACCGCGCGAAAUUUGCAUCUGGAGAUUUGGCGAUUGCGUGGCUUUUAACGUUUUAUUUUAUCUCAACUCUGAAAAUUGACCUUCAUCUGGGAAGACGAUGACGGGAUCAAUGGCGCCUGCGCGCAGCUUGUCCGCGCUGGCCGGCGGCGCACGCACCGCGCUACGCAGCAGCGCCGCGAGUUUCUCACGCAUCGCCCGCGCAGCCACGCCGCGCCUCGCUCCACCCCACCUCUCACACCGAUAUAUGCACUAAUCCCGAUUCAAAACACCACUGACACCCACUGACACUGAUAUUUCCGAGACCACUACGACUUCAGAAGAUGUAAUAAAAUCACAAAUAUUAUUAUCGUUUCACACUAACUGAUAUAUAACAACGA